rnacentral:rRNA from 1 species
AGUAACGCGUGGGUAACCUGCCCUUUUGUGGGGAACAACUUCGAGAAAUCGGAGCUAAUACCGCAUAAUAAUAGAGGAUCGCAUGAUUCUUUAAGGAAAGAUGGCCUCUGAAGAUGCUAUCGCAAAGGGAUGGACCCGCGUCUGAUUAGCUAGUUGGAAGGGUAACGGCCUACCAAGGCAACGAUCAGUAGCCGGCCUGAGAGGGUGAACGGCCACAUUGGGACUGAGACACGGCCCAAACUCCUACGGGAGGCAGCAG